UUAAUGUUUGCCGUGGUUUGCUGUCUUCGCCGCUUGGUUUGGCGGGCGGGCCUAUCUUUUGAAAUGUGUAACGUGCUUGAAACAUCAUGUUUACAAUAUUCGGUCUGACGGUCUUACAAUAACACUACCUACUAAAAAUUCGAAUGCUUUCAACAGUACCCUGGAGAUACAAAAAGGUUAAGUGUAGUUGUAAUAAUGAAUACUUCUCAACAUAUUCAUCAAAUAGAGGAUGUGCAGAUAUUGAAAGACAAAAUUUUAAAAAUAGACUCAAUUUUCACAUUGGUUGCUGAAAAGCAAAGAAAAAUAGCUGUCUUGGAAACUAAGUGUAAAAGAGCACAGCAGGACAAUAACAAAUUAGAAAGUCAAAAUCAUGAAUUACAUAGUGAGAUUGAAAGAAGAAAUAAGGACCAUGAACAGACAACAAAUGAAUAUCAGGCAAAAUUAUUGGAUGAGAUUCAAAAGUACCAUCUAUUGGAGGAUUCAGUAAAAAAUUAAGAACAAUAAUAAAAGGGUUAUUCAGAAGUACCAGAAAAUAUUUGCCAAGAAUAAAAAUCAUCUAAAUGCAACUAAGAAGAAAUAUGCUUUACACAUCAACCAGUUAAAA